AAUAAAAAGAUGAAUUUGUUAUGUAAGAGAGGAGAGAGACUACACAUGUCCUUUUGUUGCCAUGGGUGUGUGUUAUAAUUUCGGUGGGGUCCAUUCACUGUAUUUGGUUACGUAUAGAUUAUAUAUGUCAGAAUAGAUUAUUAAGGACAGUAAAGCUGCACCUAAUCCCUGCCCUCUCAGCGAUUAAACAUUUUUGACCGUUGGAUUUCGUUAAUUGGAAGUUUCUAGCCAUCGGAUAUGAUGUAUACAGCCAUCUCCAGCGCAAUUUGUAAUUGUUGGCCCAACUGUCCUAUUGGGUUGCUGCUCCAAAGGCCGAAACCAUGCCCUCUGGUUAAAUGGGCCUGUUUUCUCGGCCCACGGCGAGUCCAAAACGAUCUAUUGAUGGUGCCUACAAAACCCGUCUGCUCAGGGGAUCCAGCCGAGGCAUCGAUCCGAUAUCUUGGCCUCUCUGCUUCUCAAAAUGUCAGGCGAUGGCGGCAAUGGGUUCAUCACUUCGACCCGAUCUCUCGUGCUCCGUGACAAAGGUUAUGCCUCAUCUUCGCCCAGCCGCCGCCAUUUUCUUUGCCCAAGAUUUCAACAAGGACGAGAUCCACUCUCAGAUCAUUCAGAU
rnacentral:lncRNA from 1 species